rnacentral:lncRNA from 1 species
CUUCCCAGCAUCACUGCCUUGGGCUAUUGGCUGUCCUUCCCAUGAAUGCCAGUAUUCUGUCACUCAGCAGUUGCACAACUGUAGACAAAUAGUCCUAGUCACUUGAACCUCUGUUUUCAUGGCCCAUCAAGUUCCUAGCAGCACCCCAUACAGCAGCCUAUCCCCACAGGUGAGGCUGUUCUGGGCAUCAUCUUAGAGUGAGGCCAAAAAGUGCAUGGGGAAGCCUCAGUGCCCACAGGGAAAGGUAGUCACAGUCAUCCAAGUGUCCCUUUCCUGUGGACUCACAGCCACCUCCUGACUGAUCCCGGGCAAGCCAAGAGCUCAACCCUGAGAACCAGAAAGUGCAGGGAUAUGAAGAACAGGUGGAAUAGGAGGGAACCAAAGAGGCUUUGUAGGUAAAUAUAGCCUAAGCGAAAGUGAGUGAAGGUUGCCAGCUGCUGAAAAUGGAACUAACUAGCAAUCAGCAGCCAACAUCUGCUCCUCAUUUCUCCAUGGCUUCCUGGCUCAAUCAAAAAGAAUACGUGUAAUCUUUGAAGAAAUUCCUGGAGAAGUUAGAAAAAAAUCACUGGAGAAUCUUCACCUUACUGACAAGGACUCUCCUGUCAUUCAGUGCUCUGUACUCCAGGAUUGCUGGCCCUCAAGCUUCUGGAGCUUUCCCUGCCUCCCAUGUCCCCAUAGCAGCUCUGGGAUUACAGAAGCGUGCACUUUGUCCCCAGCCAUGAUGUGGCUUCUGGGCAUCCAAACUCAGGCCAGCCUUGUGGAGCAAGUGCUUUACCCAGUGUGUCAUCUCUGAAGCCACAAGAAGCAUUUGGGGGAAAUGGCUCAGAAGUCAGAACCACACUCUUGCAGGAGACCUGAGCUCUGUUCCAAGCACACACAUCAGGCAGCUUACAACUGCCUAUGACUCCAGCUCCAGAAAACACAAAGGAUUUUUGAUGGACGAUGUAUGAGGGCCAAAGAAAAGCCUCCAGAGAUAGGUGAGGCAGGGUUUUAUAUGCCUCCCUGUCUAAAUCCUGGUUCUUUUGAGUCUAUCUUGGAUGGUGAC